AUUGAACGCUGGCGGCAGGCCUAACACAUGCAAGUCGAACGAGUGGCGGACGGGUGAGUAAUGUCUGGGAAACUGCCAGAUGGAGGGGGAUAACUACUGGAAACGGUAGCUAAUACCGCAUACCAUCGGAUGUGCCCAGAUGGGAUUAGCUAGUUGGUGGGGAAACGGCUCACCUAGGCGACGAUCCAUAGCGGGUCUGCGAGGAUGACGAGCCACACUGGAACUGAGACAGGGUCCAACUUCCUACGGGAGGAAGCAGUGGGGAAUAUUGAACAAGGGGCGCAAGCUUGAGGCAGCCAUGCCGGGUGUAUGAAGAAGGCCUUCGGGUUGUAAAGUACGUUCAGCGAGGAGACGUUACUCGCAGAAGAAGCACCGGCUAACUCCGUGCCAGCAGCCGCGUAAUUC
rnacentral:rRNA from 1 species